UGCGAUACUUGGUGUGAAUUGCAGAAUCCCGUGAACCAUCGAGUCUUUGAACGCAAGUUGCGCCCUAAGCCACUAGGCCGAGGGCACGUCUGCCUGGGUGUCACGC
rnacentral:rRNA from 1 species